CACUCUUCUCCAACCUCUCACUCUGUUGUUCUCUCAUCUGCCAGAAAGCACACCACUCUUGGACAAAGAAAAACUGAUGACCCUUCAGUGCUGGAGUUUUCCAGGCAGGAAGGACAGGGAGGUUCAGAGAAUCACAACGUUUGAAGGGAGUGUGAAGAUCAGGUGGUCCCAUCCCAUGAUGCAUGAAAACCUCUAUAAUAUUAGGAUAAGGGCUUCAGUUCUCUGCCGGGUUUCCAGAACGGAUUCAAUUACCCAAAAUGGAGGCAAGACUCCCAAAGUAUUUUAACAACAGAUAACCAGAACCAGAGACCCCAUUCAUUGCCCUAGAAAAUCCCCUCCUGUCUUCAUUAAGCCCUUUGAGGCUGUCCACCCAAAGCAUUGGGUCUGAUUGGGAACUGUCUUUUAGCCAUGCUUACUGGAUCCCCAGGAGAGGAAAACUAUUUGGAUAUAAAAAAAUUAUUUCAGCUGAUUUGGACAAGAUUAUCGCUUUCUUUUCCCACCAACUCCCCCCAUCUCCCCCACCCCUGCCAACUCUUCACCUCAUCUCACGAGACUGGAGAGCUCCUGGAGUGAUCUUGUCCCACCUUCCCCAGGGCUUCCCCACCUCAUCUACCUGCUGAAUGGGUAGGUAAAAGAUCUCUAAACUUACAGAUUCACAGCACCAACAUGAGGUUGCAUGGGGGCAGGCCAUGAAGAGAGAAGAAGAAGGGUUUGGGGACCCAUAUUCUGGCAGUUUUUCUACCAUCACCCCAAACUACAAGCAACAGCUCUUGGCUGUACAAAUGAGAGUGUCUAUGUUGAACAUAAAUAUGCAAUCAUUAAAGAUGUGUCAGUUUGGAAAGAAAGGGACUUUAGAGGAGGCCGUGUCUCAAAUUCUUUCCCUAUCUCACCCAUCUUCCACUUUCCCUCUCCCAGUCUCUGCCCUCCCCAACACUUUCUCCCAUCUUUAUCUCCUCUCAUACAACACUGAUGAAUUCUAUCAGCCAUGACAGUCUUGUCCUGCUGCACUUUAAAAUGGCAGAUCUUAAAUCAUCUUUCCAGUUUCUUCCAUAAUUGACAUAGUCAAGUUUUCUGCUUCAUCUUGAGUCAAGCUUGAGCAUUUGCUAAGAUAUAAUCAAUUUUCUUUAGCUUUAAAUGUUUGUGGCCAUAGAGUUACUUAUAAUGUUCUCAUAGAAUAAUUUCAGUCUCUCCUGUAUGCAUGGUUUUAUCCCCUUCUCAUUUCUACUCUUACAUAAUUUUGUUAUCUCUUUUCUUUAAUCAGGUUUGCAAGGGGUUCAUUAAUUUUAUUGACUUUUUCAAAGAAGCGAUUUUGGAUUUAUUUGUCCUUUCUACUUGUUUUGGUUUGUUUUCUUUUGAUUUAUUUUUCCUGUUUUCUUAAGGUUUAAAUGUUAUUUUCUAAUGUUUUAAAAUUGAUGUAGAAUUCCUUCAUUUUAGGUCUUUCUAACAACAAAGCCAUUUACAGCUAUUAAUUUUCUCCUGAGUACAGCUUUAGCUGGAUACUAUAGGUUUUAGAAUAAAGGAGUCUACAUUUAUCAUUUUUUAAAUAGUUUGUAAUUUUAAUUUUUAUUCCUCUUUGGUUGUUUGAGGAUUAUUUAAUAAUGGGUUUCUUAAUUUCUAGCAUUGAGGAAUCUUUUGAUUUUUUUUAACUUUGUAUAUCUAGUUUUAUUGGAUUAUGAGCAGAAAACAUGGCCUGUAAAAAUCUUUAUUUUAAAAUUGUGUGAAUUUUUCUUCAUUGUCAAGUACCUGAUUGAUUUUGGACAUAUAAAAUUAAAUUUUACUUUGAAAGAAA
rnacentral:sRNA from 1 species